rnacentral:rRNA from 1 species
GACGAACGCUGGCGGCGUGCCUAAUACAUGCAAGUCGAACGCUUCUUUCCUCCCGAGUGCUUGCACUCAAUUGGAAAGAGGAGUGGCGGACGGGUGAGUAACACGUGGGUAACCUACCCAUCAGAGGGGGAUAACACUUGGAAACAGGUGCUAAUACCGCAUAACAGUUUAUGCCGCAUGGCAUAAGAGUGAAAGGCGCUUUCGGGUGUCGCUGAUGGAUGGACCCGCGGUGCAUUAGCUAGUUGGUGAGGUAACGGCUCACCAAGGCCACGAUGCAUAGCCGACCUGGGAGAGUGAUCGGCCACACUGGGACUGAGACACGGCCCAGACUCCUACGGGAGGCAGCAGUAGGGAAUCUUCGGCAAUGGACGAAAGUCUGACCGAGCAACGCCGCGUGAGUGAAGAAGGUUUUCGGAUCGUAAAACUCUGUUGUUAGAGAAGAACAAGGACGUUAGUAACUGAACGUCCCCUGACGGUAUCUAACCAGAAAGCCACGGCUAACUACGUG